AUUGAACGCUGGCGGCAUGCUUUACACAUGCAAGUCGAACGGUAACAGGCCGCAAGGUGCUGACGAGUGGCGAACGGGUGAGUAAUGCAUCGGAACGUGCCCAGUCGUGGGGGAUAACGCAGCGAAAGCUGCGCUAAUACCGCAUACGAUCUAUGGAUGAAAGCGGGGGACCGUAAGGCCUCGCGCGAUUGGAGCGGCCGAUGUCAGAUUAGGUAGUUGGUGGGGUAAAGGCUCACCAAGCCGACGAUCUGUAGCUGGUCUGAGAGGACGACCAGCCACACUGGGACUGAGACACGGCCCAGACUCCCACGGGAGGCAGCAGUGGGGAAUUUUGGACAAUGGGCGCAAGCCUGAUCCAGCAAUGCCGCGUGCAGGAAGAAGGCCUUCGGGUUGUAAACUGCUUUUGUACGGAACGAAACGGCUCUGGUUAAUACCCGGGGCUAAUGACGGUACCGUAAGAAUAAGCACCGGCUAACUACGUGCCAGCAGCCGCGGUAAGAC
rnacentral:rRNA from 1 species